CCAAAGGCUCUUUUCAGAGCCAUUAACCUCUAUCUUACUAUUACUAU
rnacentral:ncRNA from 1 species